rnacentral:rRNA from 1 species
CAGCAGCCGCCGCGGUAAUACGAAGGGUGCAAGCGUUAAUCGGAAUUACUGGGCGUAAAGCGUGCGUAGGCGGUUUGUUAAGUCUGUUGUGAAAUCCCCGGGCUCAACCUGGGAAUGGCAAUGGAUACUGGCAAGCUAGAGUGUGUCAGAGGAUGGUGGAAUUCCCGGUGUAGCGGUGAAAUGCGUAGAGAUCGGGAGGAACAUCAGUGGCGAAGGCGGCCAUCUGGGACAACACUGACGCUGAGGCACGAAAGCGUGGGGAGCAAACAGGAUUAGAUACCCCGGUAGUCCCUGUCUCUUAUAC